rnacentral:rRNA from 1 species
GACGAACGCUGGCGGCGGGCUUAACACAUGCAAGUCGAGCGGGGAUUAGUGAGGUGCUUGCACCGAUCUAAUUCUGGCGGCGGACGGGUGAGUAACGCGUGAGCAAUCUGUCCUACACAGGGGGAUAACACUUGGAAACAGGUGCUAAUACCGCAUAAGACCACGAGGUCGCAUGGCCACGGGGUAAAAGAUUUAUCGGUGUAGGGUGAGCUCGCGUCCCAUUAGCUAGUUGGUGAGGUAACGGCCCACCAAGGCGACGAUGGGUAGCCGACCUGAGAGGGUGAUCGGCCACAUUGGAACUGAGACACGGUCCAGACUCCUACGGGAGGCAGCAGUGGGGAAUAUUGGGCAAUGGGCGCAAGCCUGACCCAGCAACGCCGCGUGAAGGAAGAAGGUUUUCGGAUUGUAAACUUCUGUCCUAAGUGACGAACACAAUGACGGUAGCUUAGGAGGAAGCCCCGGCUAACUACGUGCCAGCCGCCGCGGUAACAC